rnacentral:rRNA from 1 species
GAUCUGGCUCAGGAUGAACGCUAGCGACAGGCUUAACACAUGCAAGUCGAGGGGCAGCACGGUGUAGCAAUACACUGGUGGCGACCGGCGCACGGGUGAGUAACACGUGUGCAACCAACCCCGUACCGGGAGAUAACCCGCGGAAACGUGGACUAACAUCCCAUAAUACUGGAGGAUCGCAUGAUCUUUCAUUUAAAAUUCCGGUGGUACGGGACGGGCACGCGCGACAUUAGGUAGUUGGCGGGGUAACGGCCC